rnacentral:misc_RNA from 1 species
UAAUAAGUGUUUUAUGGCACUUUUUAAAUCCAUAUCCACCUUGUGUUGCAAUGUCAGUCGAUCUUCUUCAUGGAGAUCGACCAAACAUCAACCUUUAUCUUUUAACUCUUUGUCUGAAAAAUAUUAUGAAUAAACAAUUCAAAAUA